AUAUUGAAUUUUUUUUUGGUUCAAUAAAGAGAUUUAAAUCUGUUCUUAUCAGCUUAAUAUCUGGUACGAUUCUCAUUGAGAAUCCAGUAUAUUAACCUGAUUUUUGAAAAUAGGUGGAAAUCCGGGGCUUGCUCCGGUUCCGCGACAAGUUGCCUGGCAUUGCAGUGCCGCCAGAGUCAGCUCAAUAAUU